rnacentral:misc_RNA from 1 species
UCGUAACAAGGUUUCCGUAGGUGAACCUGCGGAAGGAUCAUUAGUGAAUAUAGGACGUCCAACUUAACUUGGAGUCCGAACUCUCACUUUCUAACCCUGUGCACUUGUUUGGGAUAGUAACUCUCGCAAGAGAGCGAACUCCUAUUCACUUAUAAACACAAAGUCUAUGAAUGUAUUAAAUUUUAUAACAAAAUAAAACUUUCAACAACGGAUCUCUUGGCUCUCGCAUCGAUGAAGAACGCAGCGAAAUGCGAUAAGUAAUGUGAAUUGCAGAAUUCAGUGAAUCAUCGAAUCUUUGAACGCACCUUGCGCUCCAUGGUAUUCCGUGGAGCAUGCCUGUUUGAGUGUCAUGAAUACUUCAACCCUCCUCUUUCUUAAUGAUUGAAGAGGUGUUUGGUUUCUGAGCGCUGCUGGCCUUUACGGUCUAGCUCGUUCGUAAUGCAUUAGCAUCCGCAAUCGAAUUUCGGAUUGACUUGGCGUAAUAGACUAUUCGCUGAGGAAUUCUAGUCUUCGGAUUAGAGCCGGGUUGGGUUAAAGGAAGCUUCUAAUCAGAAUGUCUACAUUUUAAGAUUAGAUCUCAAAUCAGGUAGGACUACCCGCUGAACCUAAGCAUAUCA